GAUGAACGCUGGCGGCGUGCCUAAUACAUGCAAGUCGAGCGAACGGACGAGAAGCUUGCUUCUCUGAUGUUAGCGGCGGACGGGUGAGUAACACGUGGAUAACCUACCUAUAAGACUGGGAUAACUUCGGGAAACCGGAGCUAAUACCGGAUAAUAUUUUGAACCGCAUGGUUCAAAAGUGAAAGACGGUCUUGCUGUCACUUAUAGAUGGAUCCGCGCUGCAUUAGCUAGUUGGUAAGGUAACGGCUUACCAAGGCAACGAUGCAUAGCCGACCUGAGAGGGUGAUCGGCCACACUGGAACGGAGACACGGUCCAGACUCCUACGGGAGGCAGCAGUAGGGAAUCUUCCGCAAUGGGCGAAAGCCUGACGGAGCAACGCCGCGUGAGUGAUGAAGGUCUUCGGAUCGUAAAACUCUGUUAUUAGGGAAGAACAUAUGUGUAAGUAACUGUGCACAUCUUGACGGUACCUAAUCAGAAAGCCACGGCUAACUACGUG
rnacentral:rRNA from 1 species